GCCCACUCGAGCUCAGGUUUGAUCGCCGCGCGCUGCUGACAGUCGCCGCGAACUCGUGCUCGGUGGCGAUUUAACGGCAUUAAGCGGCGGCGGGCUGUCGUUAUUCGGUUACCGGAGGGUUAUGACUUUAAACAUGUUCACCUAACCCAUCCUGAGCGGUAGUGAUGCGCUCACGAGUUCGUGAGGCGGCCGAUUGUCAUUUCGACUUAGCUGGCGUUCGCUUAGCCGCCACAGGCUAAUUAAUUAACCCGUUUUGUGAGGUAAAUAUUGACUCCAAAUCACUGGAAACGCGACAAAAACGCCACAACGCCGACCUACAGCGAGGACCAGCGCUGUUUCAUCGUAUUGGCUGAACGCGAGGGAUUAACGGGUUGAGCUGUGACGAUUGUGUGGAUAAGAAAGUUGUGCAGGAUGCAGGGAAAUAGAGAAGACGCUCGUUCACCAUGACACCCCCCCCGCUCUCAUCUCAGCCAUAGGAACACACGCGCACACACACACACACACACACACACGCAGAAGAACACACACCAUCACACUACAGCCCAGGUGUGUCAGGUAAAGACUGACUGAACUGUGUUUGAUAACAAAUACUGAUGACCAAAAGAUCUAUUUUUGCAUCUCCUCCUCCUCACGCACUCGUGUUUGUGCGUUCAGGGUUUGUGAGGUGUGCGCUUUGAGGGAUCAUGUCUGUGGUCUUCACACCCGAUGGGAUGUUGGAGGGCGACGGCUCUCUGUCCACCGAUGCUUCCACGGGCAUCCGUGGCAAAAUCAGCCCGACGGCACUCGCAAAAGACGCCAACUCCGACAGCACCGAACCAGACGACAACCUCUCCCAGGAUGCACAGCGGCGCUGUCAGAAUCACGGCCACACUAGGAAACGAGCCAAGGUAAAGCGUGCGACGACACGCAGCAUGUGUAGUUCAGUCCUAAACUUGAGUUUAACC
rnacentral:lncRNA from 1 species